UAUGGAGGAUCCAAGCGUUAUCCGGAAUCAUUGGGUUUAAAGGGUCCGUAGGCGGUCAGGUAAGUCAGUGGUGAAAGCCCAUCGCUCAACGGUGGAACGGCCAUUGAUACUGCUUGACUUGAAUUAUUAGGAAGUAACUAGAAUAUGUAGUGUAGCGGUGAAAUGCUUAGAGAUUACAUGGAAUACCAAUUGCGAAGGCAGGUUACUACUAAUGGAUUGACGCUGAUGGACGAAAGCGUGGGUAGCGAACAGG
rnacentral:rRNA from 1 species